AGAAAAUAUGAGAUAAUUUUAGAUUAUGGUGUGGCUGUAAGAUUGGUUAAAUUAAGGGAGCUGCUUCAUAUUUCUUCGGCUAAAAUAGGGGACUGUAGCAUAUAGAACUUCUACUGAAGUGAUAAAUUAAAAUGUUACUACCAGGUGAUGAAUAAUGAAUGAAACAGGGCAGAAAUGGCACUUACUCUAUACCUAAAAGCUGACUUUUUUAUAGACAAAACAUCUGAUCCCAAUACUAUCGUGCUUUUGGGCUUUUUCUCUUUUGUUUUUUUUUUUUUCCUUAUGUAAUGUCUUUGAAGCUGAGAAAUUUUAAAGUAAAUAGUAGGAAAUUCUUAACAUUACCCCCUGAUACUGAGAGAAGCAGUACAAAAUGAACUUUUGUGCUGCGAUCAGAGAUUUUGCUUUCCAACCUCUCACAAAAUUCGGCAUAAUGCUCACUGUUUGUCAGGAAUAACACAAACUUGCUUCUCCUAGGUUUGGUGAUAACUCAAUAUCUGGGAAAGAAUAGGAAUCCUAACAGAAAGAUUUUGACAAAGCAGUGUGAGUACGCACUGUGAGAAGCUGACCAGGAACACCUCCAGCCAGAGUUUAGCAAAUGGCAGGGGGGACUUGCAGUGAUUCCCUCAGCCAGACAAACUCAUGGGCAUUUUUCUCAGAACCUACAAAUAGCCAGAGCCCAGACAAGCUGCAAAGGGCAAGGGAGUGACCCCAGAAUUUACAUUAUUUGUUAAACCAAAAGCAUUCCAAGGUGUUUAUCAAGGAAGAAGGCACUAGCUUUUUGCAGCAGAAAAGUAAUUAAAAACACUGUUUGACUUCAGAAGCUUAAAGUUAGCAUGGUCAAUUUGUGAGCAUUUUCCUGAGGACUUUCUCAGUCCUCAGGAAGUUUGGGGGUUUUUUUGGGGUUUUUUUUGUUUGUUUUUUUUUUUUUUGUUUGUUUGUUUGUUUUGGUUUUGGUUUUGGUUUUUUUUUUUGUUUUUGUUUUGGUUUGGUUUGGUUUUUUUUUAAGACAAUCUGGGUCUAUGAUUGGUCAUGCUUCACCACAAUUAUCUCUUUUUUUCUUUCUUUUUUUCUCCCCUCUUCUCUGCAAUUCUUAAUAAGUAGGGCUGAGUGAUGCAGCCCAAACACAUUUUGAAAUAUUCAUGUAAACAUAAAUGAGUCAUUUGCUAAAUUGGCAUUUACAAUUAAUUUUUGACUGUGAAUAUAUUCAAGCACAAGAAUUUAUGCAAUGAAUCCAUGGAUAUUGGUUUUGGCAGUUGUUCUGUGGGUAUAUUUUUUACUGCUUUAUCAUGAAAACAUCUAAACACAAAAGCCAAUGGAGUGGCUCAAGGUGCUAAAAGUAUAAACAACUUUUUAAAAAUGGUCCUUCUCUGGAUGGACUGUAGCCUGAAAGCACACAUGCCCUGUUUUGGCUAAUCCUUGCAGUUUUGCUCACUCUGUGUUAUUCUGACUCCUGAAGGAUGACCAGCCUUUAAGGCUUGGGCAUUAUCUUUGCAGGACUGGGGCCACAGCUCCUAAUGCAGUAACAGUGCACGUGACCUCCGUGCCAUUUCUCAAGUCUGUUUUAUUCCUCUUUGCAUCAUAGGUCAUUACUCCCUUAGUCAUGAAUGCUUGUAGAAAAUCUGGAAUUACAAAAGAAACCCUUCUUAGAUGUUACGUAAAUAUUACCUGUCACAUGCUUGUCACACACUGAAGGGGAUGUGAGUCCCCAUCUCUGCAGCCUGGACAGCAGAUCCUCCUGAAUGUCCCUUUCUGAAUGUCAUGCACCACACCAUGCUCUCGAGCUGCCCACCUGACAAACAGACUAGCCCAGCUGGGACGGACAAACAGACACAAACAGCUUCAGACCCAUUCGUGCAGAGUCCAGUGAAUGAGGCAGAGGGACAGCAUCUGCUGCAGAGCAUGGCAGUGCUGGACAUAGCAAGGAUAUUUACUGCUGCCCAAAAGCAAGAGUGUCCUCUCCACAAGGAGUUUCCAAAAUGAGCUCUGGAUGUAUUCACCACAGCCCUCCCACAUAUGAAAAUCACCAACAGCAUGCAUGGACCUGCUAGAAGUGUGGCUACCCAUGGGUAGUAGGUCACCUGGUGAGAGCAAGCAUUUCUUGGCUGGAGGCUCGUGGCUGGAGUUUCAUUACACACAAAGGCCAAUGACCACGUAGCAUUUUUGGAAAAUAUUGUCGAGGACAAUCCAUCAUGGAACAGACUUUUGGAUUAUUUGGUUUGGUUAUCAUCUUUCUACUACUACUAUGAACACAAGAAAUACUUAGUCCCAGCUAGAAAUGAAUACAAAUUUUAAAAAUCACUAACUUAUUAUACAACAUGUUACAGAUUACAGUCUGAGACAUAUUCCAUGCCCCAAACUGUUUUUGACAGGGUCAUAGUGGAAAGCACAUUUUAGUCUGGAAACUCAAGUAGAACCUGAAUGGCCUUUUUUUGCUUAAAUCAAUCUCACUUCUGGACCCCACAUCUUACUGAAUUCCACUCCAUGAGAUUUACAUGGCAGGCAGAAAAACUGUAAAAUUAAUUCAAAGCUGGAGAGCUAUAGAAAAUUGACGUGCAUGUGACCUUGAUCAGAAAAUCCAGCAACAAUAAGACAUCAUGAGGAAUCUAGAGCUUCAAUCAAGUAAACAGCAUAACAUUUUAAUGGGCUUAUUAAGACUGUGCUUGGGCAAAGAGGGAGUCAACCUACAAGUGAAUUAUGAAUAUACAGGAAAAUAAGUGUGGCAUUAUACAUGUAAAGAGCUAGUCAAGUGUUUAGUCUUUUAAAUACAUUUAAAUGGAAGGAUGAUAUGCAGAUGAAUAAAAUUCAAGCCACCCUGUUUCCUGAAGGGUAUUUUCAAUAUGGGAAUAACCAAAGGAACCUGAGGAGAAGUUAAGAAGGGCUUUUGAGAACUGAAGCAUGAAAACAUUGAAUGGAAGCAUGAAAACAGUUAGUUUGUCUUCUCCUCCCAAUGCAGAUCCAGCAAUAGGUCUGUGGCAACUGACCAGCUGCAGCUGGGCAGAACCUAUGGAAAGUGGAGAAUGAGAGGAAGCCAGAAGAGGGAACAUGACAGCUGGUGGGGAAAGGUCCAAGGCUCAGGAAGAGAGUGUGCCAAGUAGAAGUUCUGACAGCCAAAGCUCUGCCUACUCUGAAUUGCCCUGCUUACCACAGUGGCCAGAUUUUACCAACUAAGGUGUUAUGAACAGGUUUAAUGGGGACUAAUUUUAAAAGUGACUGCUGUCAACAGAUUCUCUGACUAAAAUUAUAUUACGGAGUACAGCGCUAUUAUUAAAACCACACUUAAAGUCCAUUAUACUACCAUAUUUUCUGCACUAAACUGAUUUUUUUCCAAUUUUUAUCCUUCAAACUGACACUUUUAUGGAAGCCUCAAUCCAUAUUUUCCUUUGCAACUUAGUAAUUUCUAAGAAUGCAUCUUUUGUUCCUGGCAAAUAAACAAAACAAUGGCCUUUUUUCUAGGACCUCUGCUGUGUGGCAGAACCUGAAAUUUUGGCAAAAUAAUGUUUCUUACAUUAACAAUAUGUAUUUGUCAUCCCAGUGAAAGUCAUUAUUACCUUAGAUUGAGCAAGUCAACAGCUGGAGAAAGAUCAGGCUUGUCUGACACAUGCUAAGCAGAGACUUGCUCUGAAACUAAAACUUAUUCAUGUUACAUCUGUGCCAGGUCUAUUCCACCACAAACACGGUAACCAAUCUUCCAGUCCCUUUCCCCAGUUCCAAGCAGCAGAAAGGUAGGUUUCAUCAGAAAUUUCAGCCCUGCUAAAGAGUUUGACAGACAUUGAUGUAAUGCCACAAGAACUUCUUAACUCUGUAGUUUUCAUGUCUCUGUUGCCUGUGGAGUUAGGGAGCACAAAGAAGAGAUGUCUAAGUGAGGAAACCAAAGUAGCUCGGGAGUGGGUGCAGGCAAUGGAAUCAGUACAGCCCUGUGUCCAGUGGAUGCUGUGCUCCUCUAGCCAUCUGAAAAUGAAACAUCUGGUCUGAGAUACUGUAGCUGAGAUGUUGUAUUUGGACACUAUCUUGAGUAAUGUGUUUGGGGGGACCCUGCUUGAGCAGGGAUGUUGGACUGGGUGACUUCCAGUGGUCCCUUCCAGUCUCACCCACCCUGUGAUUCUUUAUGAAGCAAAUUAAAUAUGGCAAGUCACCUGGAUGCCAGCCAUCAUCAGUGAAGAGUAAGGCAAAAGGUGACCCCUUUCCUGCUGUGAUACAUGCCCAAAAAAACAGGACCUGUCACUUUCUGCUUCUGACUGCAGAGCUACCUAGAAGAGUAUCCUAGAUGAGGCUCCUAGCCUGUGGACAGCUGCAUUUAGGUGUACCGGUUAUUGGUGACACUGGAAAUAUAGAAGAAAAAGAACUGAAUAGGUAUCAAAAUAAGGUUAAAUAACUGGGUUUCCUUCUGCUGCCAGCAAAGUGUCCGUCACACUGAAUUCCAGCCUUGGAUGUUGGAAGCCAAACCGUCUUUUUUUCUGGUCAUGCUUGUUGGUAGGAUAUCCAGGCAAAAAAACCCACGAGUUCAGGUGCUGUGUUUCAUCAGGUUUGCACUUGGGCUCUCAUGAGCAGAGCCUUGUGGAAGAAACAGCCAACCACUGAGCAAGAAAGAAACAGGAAAUGAUACAGAAGUCAUAGACUCAUAGAAUGUUUUGGUUGGAAGGGACCUUCAAGUAUCAUCGAGACCAACCCACCAGCCAUGUGCAGGGACAUCUUCCACUACAUCAGGUUGCUCAAAGCCCCACCCAACCUGCCCUUGAACAGCUCCGGGGAUGGGGUAUCCACAGCUUCUCUGGGCAAUAUUUUCAGUGUUUCACCACCCUUGUUGUAAAAUAAUUCUUUCUUGUAUACAAUCUAAAUUUACCCUCUUUUCAUUUAUGAAACAAGAACAUCGCGAAUGUGGAAUAUGAUUUUUUUUGUUUGUUUGUUUCCUAUGACCAAUCUCUGCCUUUCUAAAUAACUAUUUUUAUGGGACAAUCUGCUUUAUAAAGCCAUUCAGUUUUGCUAUAGAAAAAGGAUAUUAACUUCUGCCAAAACUGUAAUUCAGUACUGUAAUCUUCUCAUUUUAAUUAUAUUCCAUGGUUUUAUUUCCUAAAUCAAAUUACUUGGUGAUUGGCUUGAAGUCUCAAUACUGGUAUUUUUCACUAAGUGUUUAAUUCAGAUAGGCUUUAGGUUUCUAAUGGCAAAAACUUUCAUGCUCUCUCAGAAUAUAUCUGCAAAUUUCACAUGUACAGCUAUUUGUGGCAUGACAUUUAGCUGUGACAUCCAAAGUUUUAAGUCAUAUGGCACAAACUUUCAUUAGCUCAGAAAUGCAUGAGUAUGAGACCAGUCAAGAGGGAGAAAGGCAGCUUAACAUGCCAAGAUACAUGUAAGUGACAGACUGAACAUAUACCUAUAUUUUUGGGGAGCCAAACAUGGGCUAGCAAAUAGUGCAUCACUUCAGCAUGAGAAAGAGACCCAGAGGAUUACCCUAUUCAUGGGGAAAGCCUCUCAGGAAGAAAUGAAAAAUGACAGUUCCAAACACAACACUGGCUAAAGGUUUAUGUUAGGUUCAAGAGGUAACCUUUACACUAGAUGUACACCUAGAAACUCACACUUCACACCUAUGUUUUAUCUGGGGGCAACAACCAAAUGUCCAACAGAGCUGCUUAUGUGGGGCUGGUUAGAAUUUGAGAGCCUGGAAAAGUAAAGAACUAAUAUUCAGUAUUGGAUAUUGGAGGCAGAAUGUGAACAUUCCUGAAAUUCACCAUAGUGCAUAGAAGCUACAAGCAUUACCAAUUCUUUUCUCACGUGAAAUGGGAAAUACAAUUUAUGUGUGGUUUUCUUAGAAAAUGAGAAAAUUUGUCAUUAUAAAAAAACCCCUGAUUUCACCUAAUGCAUUCCC